UAAGAGUUGUGGCACAUACAUGUACUGAGGUAGGAUGUUUUACAGCAGAACAAUGAGUUAACAGUGGCUAAUAAUUAGCCAGGCCCUAUUACAAAUAUAAAUCUCCUUCUUCAACCUGCAGUCCAAAGGACACACUCACUGCACAGGCUAGUUUCCAGCCUAAACCUCAUGAAAUUUCCAGAUUUCCAGAAUUCCUCCUCACAGAAUCAUCCCAAUAAUAACCAGAAAUACAGAACAUCUGUUUUUGCAUUUUAAAAGCACAUGACUGCUAAAUCCUACUAAAAACACACACAAAAAAAUGACUUGAAUAAAGAGGGAAUUUUCACCCCGACAGCUGCAUUACCAAACUUCUUGUAAGGAACGCUUGUGUCACAUACUUAACUAGAUGAAUGCUCAGUUUCAUUUACUAGGAAACCGUAACUUAAGGGGAGUUAGGACUGCACUCACAGAAACACACAGACCAGCAGCAGACUAAUGCAGGAUGAUGAGGAUCUCAGGAAGAGUCACAAGUUGCGGUGUUGCUCUGUUCCUUGUCCUGACCUCUGUGUCAGCUGUACAAAGGCUCAACUCAAUCAAUGAUUUGAAGAGAAUCAACUUUGGCCAAUCUGUGCCCAAGCACAGUCUUCUGCUGCUCCACUGGUUUGCCAACGAGGUUGAUAUUGACAGAAACAAUGUCAUACGGUUGACCUUUGAUCCAGACAAUGAAGAUUAUGGUUCACAUCAUUAUGGCAACUAUGAGGGAUUGUUGGACCCACUGCCUAAUGGAAAUACACACCAGUACUACACUGUUGGCAAUCUCAAUCAAGGGACCUCUGUGCAACUUCCAAAUUACGUCACCCAUUCUCGGAGAGAGUACGAAGGAGAAAACAUGGACCGGAUCAUAUUCAGAGUCAGGGAGCCGCACACAGGACAGCGAGUUCUGCAGAGGAUAGACCGAGUGUUUAUCACACAACAUUAUGAAUAUCAGGAAACAGAUUAUGAUCCAGAUCAUACCUACGAGAUCACUACUGACCUCUUAAUGCAGAUCAGACAGUUUUUCAGUCUCUGUGGGAGAGGACCAGUCAUCACUUAUGCAUCUCAGAAACUGUUACAGAAGUAAUGCUGAUUUAUGGCGCAUCAGAAACACAUGGCGUGACCUUGCUUGUCUUGGACUGUUCUUGUUUAUUGUGCUCCAAGAAAAUCACACCUCUCAACAAACGCAACAACAGACCUCAGAGUGCAGCAAAAGGAAACACACAACCAGAUUUUGCUUGUCAAAAUCCCACAAGAGAAACAAAAUCACUGGCCCUGACACUUGCUAUGCUUGCUGUGAGACCUGUCUUAUUGUUGUUCUUAUUUUAUUCAUUUCAUUAUAUGCCAUUGCCUUUUUUUUAUCAGGGGAAUUAGAUAAUAAGAAUGAGGGCAAAAAUGUUCCUAAAUAUUGUCUAAACAAAGUGUGAUGGUAACACUUUUCAGUGAUGAUGACCACCAGGAAGCCAGCAGGACUUUUAAGAUUAAUGUGAUUCAGGCAGUUAUGACACCUCAGUAAACCUGGACAAUGGCAAAUGUGUUGUUCUAUUGUUCUGCUGUAUGCAUUUAUUUUUUUUACUUCCAUGUUCAAUUGAUUGUGUACAAUUUUAGCUUAUUUUGUAAAUGUGGUUCACUUAAUAUUGACAUACAGGGUUAGUAUGGCAUGUUUGUGAUUAAAGACCAAAUACUGAAAAAUCAGUGUUUGCCAUGAAGGGCUCAGAGUCUUCAGGGUUUCAGUUCAGUCCAAUCAGUCAGUCAACUUUAUUUCAGACUAUAGCACCAUAUAAAAUCUAUCAGUGAUCAGCACAUCUUCAUCACAGAGAAACAAAGAAGUUAUCAGUGAAUGAAGGCGGCGUUUGUUCUGAAUAAAUAUUUAGUAAAAUCAUGUGAAAAAGUGUUAAUUUAUGUGCCAAUCAUU